rnacentral:rRNA from 1 species
GACGAACGCUGGCGGCGUGCUUAACACAUGCAAGUCGAACGGAAAGGCCCUGCUUUUGUGGGGUGCUCGAGUGGCGAACGGGUGAGUAACACGUGAGUAACCUGCCCUUGACUUUGGGAUAACUUCAGGAAACUGGGGCUAAUACCGGAUAGGAGCUCCUGCUGCAUGGUGGGGGUUGGAAAGUUUCGGCGGUUGGGGCUGGACUCGCGGCUUAUCCGCUUGUUGGUGGGGUAGUGGCUUACCAAGGCUUUGACGGGUAGCCGGCCUGAGAGGGUGACCGGCCACAUUGGGACUGAGAUACGGCCCAGACUCCUACGGGAGGCAGCAGUGGGGAAUAUGGCACAAUGGGCGGAAGCCUGAUGCAGCAACGCCGCGUGCGGGAUGACGGCCUUCGGGUUGUAAACCGCUUUCGACUGUGACGAAGCGUGAGUGACGGUAAUGGGUAAAGAAGCACCGGCUAACUACGUG